AGGAGUGAGUGAGCCCAGGAGAGGGGCACAGGGAGAGAGAAAAUCCUGAAGCAGACUCCUCGAUGAGCGGGGGCUCGUGGAUGCCAGGAAUCUGAGAGCAUGACCUGAGCUGAAAUCAAGACUUGGGUGUUUAACCGACUGAGCCACCCAGCUGCUGCCCUCUAUUUUAAAAUUUAUACAGAAAGCAUGGUCUCUAUGAAAAUUUCAAUAAAAUGAAAAUGGUUAGAAAUUGUUCUCCAUGGACAACUGAUCACACAUUUUAAUCAACCUAAUAACAGACAAGAAAGUUAUGAAUGGAAUGAAGAGUCCAACCAAGCAAUAAAGAGAUUAUUUGAAUACAAUCCAGAGGUAUAGAAAAACUGGCUAUAACCCAGUAAUGUUAAUGAGGCUCAUUGGAUUGCAAAAUUAAACCCCAGCCCAGAGGCUUGGGCUUGGUGAAGAAGGAAAGAGGCUCUCUACGGACAGACAUGAAACAGAAUUUGACUCACAGUCUGAGAGCUACAUGAUUUCUCUUGGCUCCAGUAGAGUCAUCUUGUAUGUGGGGAUCACAGGUCAUGUUCUGGGCUCCACUCUCUAAAUGAUAAAUAAUGCUAUUGUGACUCCGGCUGUCAUCUCAUUCUGCCAGAGAUGGAAACUUCUGUGACUGUGUAUCUAUUGCUUGAUAUCCUGAGGGUCCUGAUUAGCUGAAGGUAAGGAUUAUUCCAAAAAACAAAACAAUGUGGGGUUUUUUG